UUGUUCAGCAUCUUUUAAACAGGCCUUACCUCACAUGCAUGGUGUUCUUUUAGUAUCAGCACAUAUGCAGCCAUAACUGACUUAUCAGUCAAUUAUAAAGUUGAAAAAUAUAACAUAUUUUACAACAAGAACUUUUUUUGAAGAUUGUAAAGAAUAUUGUUCCACUAGCCAAAAAUACAGCAGAAGAUGUAAGAAAUGAAACUAUAAUAGUGCGUAUUAAUAUGUAAUUUUAUUCCAAGUUGUUUUUGUACACUAGAAUAAUAAUAAUAAUAAGAAUAAUAAUAAUAAUUGACAUCUCCUGUACUCACAGACCCACAGCUUGCAGGACAUGAGGCAGCAGGCAGCCGUCGCUGCCAAAGUCUUCGUUCAAAAAGAUUACACCAACGACACCGUGUGCCAGUUCCAGACCAAGUUCCCCUCUGAGCUGGAGUCCCGGGUGGCUCAUUAAGCACUGAAACAGAACAGACGUUCCCAGGCCUCCUCAACAACCAGGUGACCCACAGGUAAAGACAAAGCAGUGCGGACGGACCAUCUGCAGCCCAGCAACCACUACACCAACCAUCACUCAUUUUGAAUGAGUGAUGAAAUAAACCUGCUAGAAAGUUGCAGGUAUUUUACCGUAUAAAUCACGGCUGCUUUCUCUGUCGAGGAACACUAGCUGUUGCUGUUUGAGGCCAGACACUUCUGUGUUUGGGCAAUCUGUUGUGAUGCAGAGGGUAAGCUGAGCUGACCCACACAGUAGGAGGACCUGAGAGGGGACUGACCCCAUCGCUGCUGCUGCUUCCCACAGAGAUGUGAAGCCCUCCGUCGGGACCAGACAAACGAUGGUGGGCACGCCUAAGUGUGUGUGUGACCUUUGGGCUACAUGCGGAUGCUGAUACGGAACCUGCUUUUAGGAUGUGAGACUUCACCGGUCCGCUGGCAGUUUCUGGAGGAUCUGCAUAACGUCCAGGUUAGAUGAUGGCUGGUUGACAUUCGUCCCAUUGAGCAACGAUCCAAAGUUAGUGAGAGAAAAGCAACAAAGAAAUGCAUUAAGGUUAGAAUUCCAAUGUUAACCUAAAGAAAAAGUGUCAAUUCCUGCACACAAAUUAUUAGCUCUGCAGUUGAAUUAUUGAAGUAAUGAUGUUUUGGACACAAAGGCCUUUUUGAAGACAGACCCACCACAAAUGACUCAGUGAUGUACAGUCCUAAUCUAAGAAGUAUCCACCAUAGGCCGCCAUUAGAAAUGGCCCAUCAUCAGCCAUGUCCUGAGGGACACAAGAGCCUACCUGCUGUCUCUGAAAACCACAGCAGGUCAACCGCUUCAUUUAUCCCCAUUAAUGAAUAAGCUAUCAAAUGCAUUCAAAUCAUUAUUAGAGAAUUGGUGAUCUCAACAAGGUUAAUUAAGCAGCUGCUCCUAGAGAAUAAAUGUAAUUCCUUGAUUCAGGUGUAUGUACUGUAUGUAUUUCAGCAUUGCCCGCAAAUCGCAGUAUAAUAGGAUUUCUCUUAGUUUUUCUACACCAACCUGCUCUGAUAGUCUGUAUACUGACUGCAGUCGGCUUCAUUGUGAACAUCGACAAAAAAAUCUUAACAGGUACCUUCCAAGAUCACAAAUGUCUUGUCAUACAAGAUGCUAUGCUACACUCUUGACAUUUUAGCUUGCAGACCACAGAAGCUACUAUAUCCGAAAUAUGUCCUAAAUAUAGUGUACACUCGCAUAUUAAUUAUAUUUUAGGUGUCUAACAUAAAAUACAUUUUGAUUUCCCCCGUCUGCAGCAGUACACUUUUCUUACCUGCCGAUACUCCUGUCUGCUUCUCCAAAUUGGAGGCGUGAAGAUCUGGAUCAUCUGGAUCUCCUCCAUGUGUUGAAGAUGAGCAGCUGUGUCUCUAUCCAUUUGUCUCAGUGGAAAGAAGUUGUUCUCUCCCAUAAUGGUGCAUCUCUAUCCAAAGCUUGUUUGGUUAUGGCUAAAGACACAGAGUUUGUGAUGAAUGUUGAUGUCAUGGCACCAGAACACGGAACAUUCAACACGGAACAUUCAACACGGAACAUUCUAAAUAGAAUCUCACCUCAUGGAAUUGAUCCUCCUGUCAAUGUACACAACAACAAUACAGGCUUAUUAAAUCAUCAACAUGAAUGACAGUACUCUUGGAAACAUUAAUAACCAGAGUGCAGAACAACAACAGCAGUGUUCUGCAGAAUACAAGGCUGAUGCUUCACUCAACUUUUUCAGAAAUGUAUUUGUUAAUAUAGUAAUUAAUUUCUGAUUUUAGGAAUUAUUAAUGAUAUGCUCAUUGACAUUGAUUAAAAAAGUAUAAGCACCUUUCAUUGAUAUCCAUCCAAGAGCAGUGCUCGACUACCAAAUGGCCACACAGGGCAGACUUAUUCGGCCCUGUUGCCUGUUAAAAUAAGUUCAUCCGAAAUGUUUGUAAAACACACUAGAAUCAACCAGAAGAGACUAAUGCAGCCUGCAAUGAAUAUAGUUUUCAUUAGCCAAACUAUAAAUAUAUAUAAAGUAAAUAUAUAAAGUUCAAUUUAAAAGAAAAAGGCUCAAUAAUUACUUGUAGUUUUAUCAAACAAACUGGAGAAAGGGGGUUUGUUGAGUGGAAAACAGGCUUAAGAGACGACACAAAAUAUCGCCCUUAAAAUCUGAAAGUAGAAAGGUGCAGUCAGCUGAGAGCAGAUCUUCUCCAGGUGUGUCUGCAACAACCGCUGCUGGGUUGUGUGAUUGAAUGAACACAACCAGCUUCAUUUAAAGCCUUUAUUUAGGCUUUAAGUCAAUUUUCGUCAAUACUUGUGUUAAUGCGAGGUUGAUGUCCAAUAAAAAGGUAAAAGAGCAACCGUGUGUGUAGCGCCGUUAGCUGUUAGCCAAACACAACGUCCACAUAGAUAAAAGUGGGCGAACAGUUU